GAUGAAGAACGUAGUGAAAUGCGAUAAGUAGUGUGAAUUGCAGAAUUCAGUGAAUCAUCGAAUCUUUGAACGCACAUUGCGCCCCAUGGUAUUCCGUGGGGCAUGCCUGUUCGAGCGUCAUUUACCCCCUCAAGCUCCGCUUGGUGUUGGGCGUCUGUCCCGCUUCGCGCGCGGACUCGCCCCAAAGGUAUUGGCAGCGGUCGUGCCAGCUUCUCGCGCAGCACAUUGCGCUUCUCGAGGCACCGGUGGGCCCGCGUCCAUCAAGCUCACCCCCCCAGUUUGACCUCGGAUCAGGUAGGGAUACCCGCUGAACUUAAGCAUAUCAAUAAGCGGAGG
rnacentral:misc_RNA from 1 species